CGCUUGCUGCUGUCUGAGGAAGGGAAGGAGCAGCUGAUGUUUGAGGUCCCUCUCAACGAUUCGGGCUCAGCUGGGUAAGGGAUCAGCCUGAAGAGUAAUAAGACCCGUGAGACUGGCGAGGUGCAGUUUUUAGGGAAGGGCGUCUACGUGUCAAUGACCAGCUGAUUGCCGUUAAUAGUGAGACUCUUUUGGGGAAGUCCAACCAUGAGGUCAUGGAGACCCUGCGAAACUUAGAGGAAUGAUCCAGUUGGUUGUACUCCAGCUUCAAGCACCACCUACCCAAGAGUUCCAGGAAGCAUGGCAAAUUCUCAAUCGAUCAUUUGAUAGCUGCGUGGGGCAGGCAUGGUAGCUCGGCCAAUCAGAUGGCAGCACUCAGCCCCCCAGUGGUGAUGAACAGCAUCUAAGAGAGAUAUACAGUUUCAAAUGGGGGAUACGGUCACGUGGAAGAGGGGGAUGAUGAAGGCUUCACUGCAAAUCCUCAUAGACAGGACAGCCUGAAGCUCCAGCAGAGGUCUUCAUUCAGCUGACACUUCUUUGACUGAUGGAGGUCAGCAGGGUCAUACUGAGCAGAAUCAUUUGAAGUCAUCUAAGAGCAUGGAUCUAGAUGAGAGGUCGGACCAGAGCUCUGGGCGAGAUACUCCAGCCAGCGAAUCCUCCAGACAAGAUACGGGAGACAAUGAGGAGAACAAGAAAGACAAGAAGAAGAAGGCCAAAGGCAAGAUGAAAGACAAGUUGAAAAACAAAGGGAAGGAGUGAGAGAAAAAGAAAUCAGAGGAAGUGAUGAGCUGGAUAAGAAGUCCAAGAAGAAAGGAUUUCGGGUU